rnacentral:rRNA from 1 species
GUAGGGGGCAAGCGUUGUCCGGAUUCAUUGGGGCGUAAAGCGCGUGUAGGCGGUUCAAUAGGUCCGAUGUGAAAACUCGAGGGCUCAACUUCGAGAGGCCAUCGGAAACCAUUGGACUAGAGUCCGGAAGAGGAGAGUGGAAUUCCUGGUGUAGCGGUGAAAUGCGCAGAUAUCAGGAAGAACACCGAUGGCGAAGGCAGCUCUCUGGGACGGUACUGACGCUGAGACGCGAAAGCGUGGGGAGCGAACAGGAUUAGAUACCCUGGUAGUCCACGCCGUAAACGAUGGGCACUAGGUGUGGGUGGUGUCGACUCCAUCCGUGCCGCAGCUAACGCAUUAAGUGCCCCGCCUGGGGAGUACGGCCGCAAGGCU